rnacentral:misc_RNA from 1 species
UCUCUCCCAAAUUUCUCUCAAAUUUAGGGUUUAUAAAAGUUUGUCUCUUCUUCUCGGAGAUUUGCUAAUAUUUUCUUGGAAAUACCGUUUCUGCUUUCACAAAGAUUUAGGAAAGAAGGUUUGUUAUUUGGAAUUUUGAAUAUUUGUUGGAAUAUGGCAUUGGGAAAGAGGAGUAAUUCAAUGAAGUCAAGGCGUGCUGGAUUUGAUGGUGAAGAAGGGUUUGGUUUAGGGUUGGUGAAACACACGCGAAGCUUUGGGAGGAAAAGGGUUUUAAUUGAUAACAAUACGGAUUCGAUGGUACUUGAUUCGCCUGUCAAAACUCCAUCGAAAAGGGUUUGCAGUCUAGAGCCUGAGAAAUCUGCGCUCGAAAGCCUGCCUCAGGAUAUUCUGAUUAGGAUUCUCUGUGGUGUGGAUCAUGAUGAUUUGAAGCAGCUUUUCCAUGUAUCUAAAGUAAUCAGAGAAUCUACUAUGGUUGCUAAAAAAUGGCACUUCGCCUAUAGUACACCAAGAAAGACUCCUGCUUUUCGAACUCCAAUUGAUUUCGAAAACCCAAAUGAGUUGGAUGAAAUUGAGGCCCCAAAUGCACCGAAGCAACAGCGCUCUUACAGGUCGCGACUAAAUGGGAAGAAGCUCGCUGACAUAUCAGUGGCAUUAUUUGCUUCUCCAAAGAAGGGGUUGUUCAUGGCAACAGAGGAAGUGUGAGAACAAGAAAAGCGUAUUGUAUAUAACACGGAUUUGUUGUUUGUUGUAAAUAGGAGGACGACUGGAGUUCUGGGUCUCAUCAGAUCUCGUUUUGGGUGUUCUCUGUACAUGGCACGAAUCUUUACAAGCCGAAGUUUAUUCUUCAACUCUUGCAUUGAAGAUAGGGAGUGGCUUGUUUGUAUCUUUGUGAGUGUACAUGUGGGGUUAGUGACACAUUUGUUCAAGUGCAAUCUUUGCCCUUCUGAUUCGAUAAAGAAUGAAAAAAAUAAUCGUAGUGUACAUCCGCAUACGAUUUGUGCUUAAUAAAAUGAAGAACGAUUGAUUCAUUUUUUA